UACGUAGGGUGCAAGCGUUAAUCGGAAUUACUGGGCGUAAAGCGUGCGCAGGCGGUUUGGUAAGACAGAUGUGAAAUCCCCGGGCUUAACCUGGGAAUUGCAUUUGUGACUGCCCGGCUAGAGUGUGUCAGAGGGGGGUAGAAUUCCACGUGUAGCAGUGAAAUGCGUAGAUAUGUGGAGGAAUACCGAUGGCGAAGGCAGCCCCCUGGGAUAACACUGACGCUCAUGCACGAAAGCGUGGGGAGCAAACAGGAUUAGAAACCCGGGUAGUCC
rnacentral:rRNA from 1 species